UACAGAGGCCCCAAGCGUUAGGCGGAAUCACUGGGCUUAAAGCGUGUGUAGGCGGACUUCUAAGUACCUUGUGAAAUCCCACGGCUUAACCGUGGAACUGCUUGGUAUACUGGUCGUCUUGAGCCACUUAGGGGUUACCGGAACAAAUGGUGGAGCGGUGAAAUGCGUAGAUAUCGGAAGGAACAUCAGUGGCGAAAGCGACUUCCUGGACCAGUACCGACGUCAGGCACGAAAGCGUGGGGAGCAAACAGG
rnacentral:rRNA from 1 species